AUGCAAGUCGAGCGGGGGAAGGUAGCUUGCUACCGGACCUAGCGGCGGACGGGUGAGUAAUGCUUAGGAAUCUGCCUAUUAGUGGGGGACAACAUCUCGAAAGGGAUGCUAAUACCGCAUACGUCCUACGGGAGAAAGCAGGGGAUCUUCGGACCUUGCGCUAAUAGAUGAGCCUAAGUCGGAUUAGCUAGUUGGUGGGGUAAAGGCCUACCAAGGCGACGAUCUGUAGCGGGUCUGAGAGGAUGAUCCGCCACACUGGGACUGAGACACGGCCCAGACUCCUACGGGAGGCAGCAGUGGGGAAUAUUGGACAAUGGGGGGAACCCUGAUCCAGCCAUGCCGCGUGUGUGAAGAAGGCCUUAUGGUUGUAAAGCACUUUAAGCGAGGAGGAGGCUACUCUAGUUAAUACCUAGGGAUAGUGGACGUUACUCGCAGAAUAAGCACCGGCUAACUCUGUGCCAGCAGCCGCGGUAAUACAGAGGGUGCGAGCGUUAAUCGGAUUUACUGGGCGUAAAGCGUGCGUAGGCGGCUUAUUAAGUCGGAUGUGAAAUCCCCGAGCUUAACUUGGGAAUUGCAUUCGAUACUGGUGAGCUAGAGUAUGGGAGAG
rnacentral:rRNA from 1 species